GACGAACGCUGGCGGCGUGCUUAACACAUGCAAGUCGAACGGAAAGGCCCUGCUUUUGUGGGGUGCUCGAGUGGCGAACGGUGAGUAAACACGUGAGUAACCUGCCCUUGACUUUGGGAUAACUUCAGGAAACUGGGGCUAAAUACCGGAUAGGAGCUCCUGCUGCAUGGUGGGGGUUGGAAAGUUUCGGCGGUUGGGGAUGGACUCGCGGCUUAUCAGCUUGUUGGUGGGGUAGUGGCUUACCAAGGCUUUGACGGGUAGCCGGCCUGAGAGGGUGACCGGCCACAUUGGGACUGAGAUACGGCCCAGACUCCUACGGGAGGCAGCAGUGGGGAAUAUUGCACAAUGGGCGGAAGCCUGAUGCAGCAACGCCGCGUGCGGGAUGACGG
rnacentral:rRNA from 1 species